UGACAGGCGUUACUAGACGCCACAAAUAGUAUAUGUUGCUCUUUGG
rfam:Cryptosporidium parvum Iowa II chromosome 8, whole genome shotgun sequence.